UGCCCUAUGGUGUAAUGGUCAAGCACAAGAGGCUCUAACCCUCUUGGUCUGGGUUCGAAUCCUAGUGGGGCUACCAA
rnacentral:tRNA from 1 species